GACAUAGGCCUCAAGCGUUAGGCGGAAUCACUGGGCUUAAAGCGUGUGUAGGCGGAUCGUUAAGUGUCUUGUGAAAUCCCACGGCUCACCCGUGGAACUGCUGGGCAUACUGGCGAUCUUGGGCCAACUAGGGGCAACUGGAACAAGCGGUGGAGCGGUGAAAUGCGUAGAUAUCGCUUGGAACGCCGAAGGUGAAAACAGGUUGCUGGGGUUGUGCCGACGCUGAGACGCGAAAGCCAGGGGAGCAAACGGG
rnacentral:rRNA from 1 species